GAAAGUGCUGAUAACAAACUUCAAUACAAGAAAUGGGAUGCUUCCAAGUAAAUAUUCGUUUGUCAUUCGAAUUACGUACUAUUUUAUUCGAUAAUCUAGACGUGACUGAAAGGUGGUGAUUUACAUUUUGGCGGUAUCGUAGGAUCAAUCGUUCUUUUUGAACCAGAGAAGUAGCCACUUGGUGUUAACUUACCGAAAAUCUCAGAUGGCGACAUCAUUUUAUUUUGGCUUAUUAAUAAAAAUCAACAACUGGACCUCAUUUGUUUUUUCAGAUUUCAAACACUCGUUUAAAUAUAUCUUGGAGGCACCCAACAUUUCUCUUGAAAAGUUUCGGACAAGUUUAGAAGAAAGGAAUGAAUAUUUACUUGUGAAGAAAUGGAUUUGAAAUGAAAAAUGUUUACCUUUUACCAAAUAUACUGUGAAGAUUGUGUUGAUUAAUAAACUUUUUGAACAGUUUUGACAACGGAAAACGAAAAUAUUGUUAUAAACAAUUGUUUUGAACUUUUUUCGAAAGCAAACACGGAGUUGUUUCUGUCAAAUCUUAUUCAUAUUGAUUAAACUUAGAUUUAUUUUUUAAGAUAUUGUAAAGCAAUUGCUGCCAAGAAACGCAGAAGUAAUUGUUUCUGCGUUUCUUUGCAGUACUUAAUAAUAAUCGAUUACUUUUAAACGUUAACAUUGAAGUUUAAUAUUUGGUGUCUCGUAGGUUUCGCCAGCCAAAGUUUAAAGAAGAGGAAAAAGAAGUUUGUCUGUGAAAAUUGUGGGAAAGAGUUUUGCAGGAAGUCAAAGUUUGAAACUCAUAGAAGAAUUCACACGGGAGAAAAGCCAUUCUGUUGCCAGUUAUGUGAUAAAAAAUUCACUCAAGCUUCCCAUUUACGAACGCAUCUGAGGUUUCAUAUCGGACAGAAACCUUUUACCUGCCACCACUGCAAGCGAAACUUCGUACAGAGACAAGAUCUAAAAAGACAUCUUCUCAUUCACACCGGAGAAAAGCCAUUUAAGUGCAAUUAUUGUUUACGAAAGUUAUCUCGCAAAUACAAUUUGAAUGCUCACAUCAGAAGACAUAGCAGACAGAAUCUUAAUUAAUAUAAAUUUAAAAGUUUCGCACUUGGAAGGAAUAAGAUAAUUCCCAAUUUCAUUAAUAUAUAUUUCUUUGAAAUUUGUUUUGAGAUUUUAUUAAAAUGGUUUGUUUUUCAUUUGAAAUUAAUAGUUAUUUUGUUAGUAAUGUUACGGAAAUAAAGAAUUUCUGGAAUUGUGAGAAAGAGUUUUUAUGAUAUAUGUUCUCGUUGUUGUAAUUUCGAUAUCUCCUAUUGUAUAAGAAGAUGAAAAUGUUUUGUAUCAGUUGUAUGAAAGGAAGUUUCGAGUUUUACUUUAAUUCACCCCAAAAUCAGAAAUUAAAAUAACACAAUGAAAUGUUCUAAAUAAUAAAUUUAAAACCGAAAACAUGAAAUGAAAUACCUAACUUAUUUAAAAUAAAAAUGUCUCGUUUUUAUGUAGCUUGAUUAGUUUUCUCACAAAUGAUCCAUUCAGACAUACAUCAUCCGAUGAUAUAUAAAUCAUCCUAUUUGCAUUUGUCUUAUACACACACGAAGUUUUUCCAUUGCU